GGACGAACGCUGGCGGCGUGCUUAACACAUGCAAGUUGUACGACGGUCUUUUGAUGUAGUAAUACUGAAGAGGAUACGGAGUAGCGGACGGGUGAGUACAACACGAGAAGCUAUCCUUUAACGGGGGACAACGUUUGGAAACGAACGCUAAUACCCCAUAUGCCUGAGGGUUAAAGCAGCAAUGCGAUAGAGGAGGUGCUCGUGCCCUAUCAGCUAGUUGGUGAGGUAAUGGCUCACCAAGGCAUUGACGGGUAGCCGGCCUGAGAGGGCGACCGGCCACACUGGAACUGAGAUACGGUCCAGACUCCUACGGGAGGCAGCAGUGGGGAAUAUUGGGCAAUGGGAGAAAUCCUGACCCAGCAACGCCGCGUGAAUGAAGAAGGCCCUUGGGUCGUAAAGUUCUUUUGCGCGGGAAGAAUAAAUGACGGUACCGCGCGAAUAAGCCCCGGCUAACUACGUGCCAGCAGCCGCGGUAAUACGUAGGGGGCGAGCGUUGUCCGGAAUUACUGGGCGUAAAGGGCACGCAGGCUGUGCCGUAAGUCGGCUGUAAAAAAAUGCGGCUUAACCGUGUUUCGCAGUCGAAACUGCGGUGCUAGAGUACCGGAGAGGCAAGUGGAAUUCCCAGUGUAGCGGUGAAAUGCGUAGAUAUUGGGAAGAACAUCGGUGGCGAAGGCGACUUGCUGGUCGGUAACUGACGCUCUUGUGCGAAAGCCAGGGGAGCAUACGGGAUUAGAUACCCCGGUAGUCCUGGCGGUAAACGAUGAAUGAUGGGUGUGCGAGUAGAGAUAUUGGCGUGCCGUAGUUAACGCGAUAAGCAUUCCGCCUGGGGAGUACGGUCGCAAGAUUGAAACUCAAAGGAAUUGACGGGGGCCCGCACAAGCGGUGGAGCACGUGGUUUAAUUCGAUGCAAA
rnacentral:rRNA from 1 species